rnacentral:rRNA from 1 species
GAUGAACGCUAGCGGCAGGCCUAAUACAUGCAAGUCGGACGGGAUUCAGGAGCUUGCUUCUGAUGAGAGUGGCGCACGGGUGCGUAACACGUAUGUAACCUACCUUUAUCAGGGGGAUAGCCUCUCGAAAGAGAGAUUAAGCCCGCAUAAAAUCACAGCACAGCAUUGUGUAAUGAUCAAAUAUUUAUAGGAUAAAGAUGGGCAUGCGGAACAUUAGCUAGAUGGCGGGGUAACGGCCCACCAUGGCGACGAUGUUUAGGGGAUCUGAGAGGAUGGCCCCCCACACUGGUACUGAGACACGGACCAGACUCCUACGGGAGGCAGCAGUAAGGAAUAUUGGUCAAUGGGCGGAAGCCCGAACCAGCCAUGCCGCGUGCAGGAAGACGGCCCUACGGGUUGUAAACUGCUUUUAUACGGGAAUAAACCCAGAUACGUGUAUCUGGCUGAAUGUACUGUAAGAAUAAGGAUCGGCUAACUCCGUG